UACAUGUGGGGCAAGCGUUGUUCGGAAUUACUGGGCAUAAAGGGUGCGUAGGCGGCAUGUUAAGUCAUUGGUGAAAGUUUUCGGCCCAACCGGAAAAUUGCCUGUGAUACUGGCGUGCUUGAGUGCGUGAGGGGUGGGGGGAACGGAGCAGUGUAGCGGUGAAAUGCGUAGAUAUUGCUCGGAAGGCCGGAGCCGAAGGGGCCCCACUGGGUACGCAACUGACGCUGAGGCACGAAAGCGUGGGGAGCAAACAGGG
rnacentral:rRNA from 1 species